rnacentral:rRNA from 1 species
UAAGGAAUAUUGGACAAUGGAGGCAACUCUGAUCCAGCCAUGCCGCGUGAAGGAAUAAGGCCCUAUGGGUUGUAAACUUCUUUUAGACGGGACAAAACCCCUUUACGUGUAAAGGGUUGAUGGUACUGUCAGAAUAAGCAUCGGCUAACUUCGUGCCAGCAGCCGCGGUAAUACGAAGGAUGCAAGCGUUAUCCGGAAUUAUUGGGUUUAAAGGGUGCGUAGGCGGACUAAUAAGUCAGUGGUGAAAGCCUGCAGCUUAACUGCAGAAUUGCCAUUGAUACUGUUAGUCUUGAGUACAGUUGAGNUAGGCGGAAUGUGUCAUGUAGCGGUGAAAUGCUUAGAGAUGACACAGAACACCGAUUGCGAAGGCAGCUUGCUAAGCUGUAACUGACGCUGAGGCACGAAAGCGUGGGGAGCAAACA